GAACGCUGGCGGCAUGCUUUUACACAUGCAAGUCGAACGGCAGCACAGGGAGCUUGCUCCCGGGUGGCGAGUGGCGCACGGGUGAGUAAUACAUCGGAACGUGUCCUGUUGUGGGGGAUAACUGCUCGAAAGGGUGGCUAAUACCGCAUGAGACCUGAGGGUGAAAGCGGGGGAUCGCAAGACCUCGCGCAAUUGGAGCGGCCGAUGCCCGAUUAGCUAGUUGGUGAGGUAAAGGCUCACCAAGGCGACGAUCGGUAGCUGGUCUGAGAGGACGACCAGCCACACUGGGACUGAGACACGGCCCAGACUCCUACGGGAGGCAGCAGUGGGGAAUUUUGGACAAUGGGGGCAACCCUGAUCCAGCCAUGCCGCGUGCAGGAUGAAGGCCUUCGGGUUGUAAACUGCUUUUGUCAGGGACGAAAAGGACCGUGUUAAUACCAUGGUCUGCUGACGGUACCUGAAGAAUAAGCACCGGCUAACUACGUG
rnacentral:rRNA from 1 species